rnacentral:misc_RNA from 1 species
AAGUCGUAACAAGGUUUCCGUAGGUGAACCUGCGGAAGGAUCAUUAACACGUAUCCACGUAUCAAACAACAAUCCGUGAACUAAACCUUCCCUGGUCAUUUGAACAAAUGUCUAUACAGUAAUCCGUGAUGGUGUAUCUGCAAAGAUACAGGUGAAAGUAUAGGCUAGUGAGUCUUUGAGCUUACAGUUUGUUUGAAUGAUUGGGCCUAUUCUGUCACUUGAGUCACAUCAUCGAGUCUCUAUCAUGGGCGAUGAUUGUGUGCUCUUGGGACGUCAUUUACACACUAUAUUAACCAUUAUAACCUUAUUUGACUGAUGUACAGUAGUUCAAGAUGAAAAUCUUGUAACUGACUGAGAUUAUCUAAACUAAGCACAACUCUUAGCAAUGGAUAUCUUGGUUCUC